UGGCGAACGGGUGAGUAACGCGUGAGGAACCUGCCUCAAAGAGGGGGACAACAGUUGGAAACGACUGCUAAUACCGCAUAAGCCCACGACCCGGCAUCGGGAAGAGGGAAAAGGAGCAAUCCGCUUUGAGAUGGCCUCGCGCCCGAUUAGCUAGUUGGUGAGGUAACGGCCCACCAAGGCGACGAUCGGUAGCCGGACUGAGAGGUUGAACGGCCACAUUGGGACUGAGACACGGCCCAG
rnacentral:rRNA from 1 species